rnacentral:lncRNA from 1 species
UCUUGGAGAUUAAAUUUAGAGAGAAACCUUAGUUUUUGUUUGUGCAAUAAUAAUGAGCAAAAUGGUUGAAUUCGAACUCAUCUGGGUAUAUAUAGGCGAGUGGUAAGUGAGCAAAAUACCCCUGUUAAAACGGCCUGGAAAUAAACUGAACGUGGCGUGUGACAACCCGACUAACGAUCCGUCAGGAAUUUGAUGGUCCAUCAUUUCGACCGUCAUACGUGGACCAGAAAUGGGGUUCACUAGAUAAGAGUUGACGGCCUGGAUGACGGUCCGUCAAAAAUCUGACGGUCCAUCAACUCGUCCGUCAAUCCUUAGACAGAACGUGGCCCUACUGCCUUGGCUGUGACGAUCAAAGUGGUGGUCCGUCACUUGUUUGGCCGUCCAUCAACUUGGACGUCG